CCUUCCGAUCCUGCAUUGUUCUUUUGUACGUCCCAACCUUGGGGUCCCCAAGUGGGGGACUUAGUGUAAGGAGUUAGUUAAACACUUGGCCUUGCCGCCCCCUCGGGAAAUAUGGCACAACGGGGGCCGUGGUGGUGCGGGUGCGAGCUCUCAACUGUUGGUGGUCCGAGCACUUGUUCAAUUUUCUGCCGUUCCGUGCCAUGCCAUGCCAUAGUUCAUUCAGCUUCUUGUAUUUGUUCUUUUGUUUUGGGCCAACAGAAAAAAUUUCUAAGUUAAACACUUGGCCGUGCCACCCCCUCAGGAAACAUGGAACAACGGGGGCCGUGGUCCAGGCACUUGUUCAAUUUUCUGCCGUGCCAUCCUGCCAUAUUUCAUUCGACUUCUUGUAUUUCUUUUGGGCCAACAAAAGAAAUUUUGAAUUAAAAAUACCAAGUGUAAGUGGCGUAAAAAAAAUUGCCCCUAUUUUAGGCAUGUACGGGAGCCUCGGGCAACAUCCGCAACGUAGGCCAUCCUAUGGUGUGGGUCAUCGGGCAACAUCGGCACCUUGGUGCCUCGGAUGUGCGGGAGCGUUGGGCUGAAAAAAGUGUCCCUGUUUCAGACAUCUGAAACCUAUCCCUGUUUCAGACACAUGAAUGUCGACUAGUAGCACAUUGACCAAGUUUUUUUAGCUCUUUAGGGGGGAAGUGAUAUUGAGCAGCCAGGGGUUAUCCAGGGCACUAACCACGCCCAUUUCAUGCCCGGACGUCGGUGCCCUCCCACCACCGGUUAGGUUCCCGGCGGUGCUCCGACGAUCCAUUCUAGCGAUGAUCCGACGAUCCAUCUCGGGAUAUACAAAACGGCGCAACGAGUCCCUCCCCAAUCCCAAAAGGUAGAAUUCAGAUACCGUUACAUGUUCGGUACCCAAUAAUGAAUGAACCGUCCCAAGGCUAAAAUUCAGAUACCGUUGCAUGUUCGGUACCCAACAAUGAAUGAAUCGUCCCUGUCCCUCCCCUUUUGCAAGAAGAGCCUCCAGCACCUUUGGCCCCCGGUCGUACGGUAUCCUCGUACACCAUCGGCAGCGUGUGCCAUCCUGUGGUGCAGGGCCAUCGGGGCGCCACCGGCCCGUUCGAUAUGUCGGAGCAUCGGGCAGCAUCGACACCUUGGUGCAUCGGAUGUGCGGGAGGGUCAAGCACCAAAGCUAAUUUCGGGCCCCCGUUGGUGCAAAAGCGUCGGGACCAUAAAGUGUCCCUGUUUCAGACACAUGAAUGUCACCUGGUAGCGGUCGCCUUGUAGUGUCGCCUGGUAGCAGCGGCCUGGUACGCAGCGUGUUUGUUUUUCUCCAAGAUUCAUGCGAUUUCUUUUCUUGUUUUGCGAGUGUGUGUCUGCUUAUUAUUCUUUGAAUUUUAUGGAAGUGUUGAGGUUUCUGAGUGUGUUUUUUCAGGUGUGCUUGUGUGUUGAAUGAUUUUUUCUCUUUGGUUUUCGUCCGUUUGGUGGUAAGGUGCUACUGUGCUGAGGUGACAGGUCCUGAUCGCAUCCCUUCGGACAAGACGUUUUCAUGCAGGGAGUCCUGCUUGAGUUUUGGGUGUUUUCCUAUCCGAUUUUUCUUUCAUUUUUUACUAUUUUUUGUAUGCUUUUUCGCUUUCUUGGUGGUUCUUGUAUGUUAUCCUGGUGCUUUGUUUUCCAGUUUUCGUGCACUGGAGUUUGGUGUGGGACCCAGGAAAUCAAAGGCUUUUCUUUACUUUUGUUAUGUUCUGCAUGAAAGAAGAAUUUAUAUAUAUCUUUACGUCCGGAAUGCAUGGUUUCUUGCAUAACUGGUUUAUGCGCCUUCUUUCCUGUUUUAAGAUUGUUCAGUUUGCACCGAUCUUUCACUUCUAAUUUUUCUGUUGUUUUUGUGAUUCUGUACCUCGGUGGGAGGGGCGGUUCUCUCAUAUAAGCUUCUGUUUUCUGACUUGCUGGGGUUUUCUGAUUCUGGGUUUGUUUCUUUUGCGUUUUCUUUAUCUUCGAUUAUCUUUGUUUUUGUAUCUCCUCUAGUGUUUUGUCUCUUAGGUUUUGCUGUCCUGCGUUUCUUCUCCUUUUUCUUGAGUCUUGGUUUCGCGUUUUCGGUCUGAGGACUCUGUUGUGUUGGAACUGUCGUGGGAUUGGGAAUCCUGCGACAGUUCGUGAACUGAAGCAACUCCUUAUUGCUAACAACCCGGAUAUUGUUUUUUUAUGUGAAACAAAAGUUAAGUCUCACAAUUUUUCUCGUAUUCGUACCUGUGUAGGAUGGAAGGAUGUCUUGCGGUGAGUGCGGAAGGGAAGAGUGGUGGCUUGGCGCUUUUGUGGAGGGAAGGGAUGAAGGUGAUGAUGCAAAACUACUCUAAAUACCACAUUGAUUCCUUGGUUUGUUUGGAUGAUGGGAUGCGACUGCGUUUCACUGGAUUUUAUGGCCAAGCUGAUCCGAAUAAUAGGAACCUUUCGUGGGAUAUGCUCAGGAGGGUGAAGGGUACUGUUAAUGAGGGUUGGAUCGUGGCGGGAGAUUUUAAUGCCAUUCUGAACAAUGCUGAGAAGGAAGGGGGACGGAAGAAGCCGCGUAGCUCUAUGAAGGAUUUUUGUAAGUUGAUUGAGGAGUUGGCGCUGGUUGAUGUUAAGACUACAAAUGGUUGGUUUACGUGGACCAAUAAUAGGGAGGGUCCUGACUUAGUUAAGGAGAGAUUAGAUAGAUUCCUUAUUUCUGAUAAUCUUGUUGGAAACAUGCCUUUUCUUACUACUAAGAUUGUACGUCAAUCCAAGUUUGACCAUGAGGCGAUCAUUAUGGACACUUUGGGUAGUAAGCCUAGGGAUUACAACAUUAACCCUAGGACGUGGUUUAGGUACGAUGCCUGUUGGAAUAAGGAGGCGGACGCCCGUGAUAUUAUUACCAGUAUCUGGUCUAAAAGUGAGAGUAACCUUCUGGAUAAGCUAGAGCUGAUUCGUAAGGAGCUUGGUCCGUGGCAACAUCAGCGCUAUAAAAGGUUGAAAAAGAAAAUUAGCGUUCUGGAGAAGAAUAUUAGUGAUAUCUUGGAUGGGUCAAACCGUGAGAAUACGAGUGGUUUGCUUAAAUCAGCUCGUAGUAAGUUGGGGUAUUUGUAUGAUGUGGAGGAGAGGUACUGGGCAGUACGUGCUCGUACUAAGUGGCUUAGGGAGGGUGAUAGGAACACUCGUUAUUUUCAUGUGAGAGCGUCAGGCCGACGGAUGAAGAAUAAUAUUGAUAAGCUGCAAGACGUGCAUGGCAUAUGGCAUGAUGAGGAUACUGAUAUUUGUGAUAUCGCGUGGAACUACUUUCACGACCUCUUUAAAUCCACUAUUAACCCGAAUGAUAAUUUUGAUCUUUCUUUUAUCCCUGCUUGUGUUACUGACGAUAUGAAUAGGAGGUUGAGUAGGGAGUUCACUGACAAGGAAAUUUUGAGGGCCUUCAAUCAGAUGGACCCUCGGAAGGCCCCUAGGAUUGAUGGGAUCUCGGGGAGUUUCUUCAAAGAUCAUUGGCAGACAGUGGGUUAAGAUGUAUUAAAGUUGUGCCAUGAUACUCUUAAGGGGAGAAAAAAUGUUAACUGUAUUAAUGAAACUUUUCUUAUAUUGAUUCCUAAGAUAAAAGAUCCGUGUAUUAUGGCUAACUUUCGUCCUAUAAGCCUUUGCAGGGUCAUUUAUAAGAUCAUUUCGAAAGUCCUGGCUAAUAGGCUUAAAGAGAUCCUACCCUACUAUAUUAGCCAUAAUUAGAGCGAUUUUGUGCCUGGCAGGAUGAUCCAUGGUAACGUGCUGAUCGCUCAUGAACUUGUGCACUACCUCUACAGCUCUAAAAAUGGACCAAACAAAGGAUGUGUGAUUAAGCUAGAUAUGAGCAAGGCUUAUGAUCGGGUGGAGUGGGUGUUCCUAGAAAAAGUGAUGCUAAAGCUUGGCUUCUCGAGGGAUUGGGUCGAGAAGGUUAUGUGUUGUGUGCGCACGGUUCGAUACAGAGUGAAGUGCAAUAUGAACCUCACUGAUGUUAUUGUCCUGGAAAGGGGGAUCCGUCAAGGGGAUCCGUUAUCUCCUUAUCUUUUUCUUUUUUGCAGGGAUGCUUUUUCUCGUUUAUUGAUUAAUGCACAGAGUACUAAUAAGCUUAAGGGCAUCCGUGCGAGUAAGGAUGGCCCUAGAAUUAACCACUUAUUCUUCGCUGACGAUGCGCUCUUGUUUGUUAGGAACAAUCGUAAUGAGGUGGAGACUUUCUUACGGAUCCUGAAUAUGUUUGAGAAGAUGUCGGGCCAAAGCAUUAAUUUAGAAAAGUCAAUGGUGUGCUUCAGUCCAAAUACGCAUUUAGCCCAGAGGAUGAAUACGAGUAGCUUGCUCAAGAUGAGGGUGGUUGUAAAGUUGGAUGGUUAUCUGGGGCUUCCUAUACCGGUCGGUAAAAAGAAGUCUGGGGCUUUCAAAGAUAUCCUGGACCGCACUGCAAAUAAGAUUAACAGUUGGUCAAAACGCUUGCUUUCUAAUGGUGGGAAGGAGAUUUUUGUCAAGUCGAUUCCCCAAUCAAUCCCUACAUAUGCCUGCUCUUUCUUCUUGGCCCCUAAAGGGGUGCUGGAGGAGCUUCAAGCUAUGAUGCGUCGUUUUUGGUGGGGGGCAUUGAACAGAACAGUGGCUGGAACAUGUUAGCUUGGGAACGUAUGUGGCAUCCCAAGGGUAUGGGAGGCAUCGAGUUUAGGGAUCUUUGGCUUUUUAAUGUGGCCCUUUUGGGCCGACAAGUUUGGCGUCUUAUUCACUGCAAGGACACUCUGUGCUACAAGGUGUUGAGUUCAAAAUACUUCCCAGAUGGGGAUGUUCUUCACCCGAAAAGGGUGGAUAAACCAUCUUUCACGUGGCAAAGUAUCGCCAAGGCAGCCAGGGUGCUGCAUGAGGGCUUCGGCUGGAAUGUUGGAAACGGGAGAUAUAUUAAUAUUUGGACUGACAAUUGGGGUUUUAAAGGACUGUCGGGUUCGUCCAUUCGUAUUGAGAGAAGGCUGGUCCCUGAGACUAAGGUGUGUGAGCUGCUGAAUGAUAGUAAGGAUGGGUGGAAUGAUAAGAGGAUCCUGGAGCUCUAUGGUGAGAGUUUAAGGGACCAGAUUUGUAAUGUGCCCAUUAUUCAUAAUAACUUCGAUGACUAGUGCAUGUGGUUCCACAACCCUAAUGGUAUUUUCUCCUCUAAAUCGGCUUACUCCUGGCUGAUCCUCAAGUAGGUUGGCUAUGGUCCACACAGAUUCUUCUGGAAGCUCAACACGCUCCCUAAAAUUUGUAUCUUUUACUGGAGACUGGGCCACGAGAUCCUUCCCACGUUUGACAAAAUUGCUAGCAUUCGUAGUGACUUCAACAAAUUAUGCCCGAGAUGUGGUAUUGAGAAGGAAACUCUCAUUCACGCGCUGAAGGACUGCCCAAAGGCUCGGGAGGUGCUGGUAUACGGGGGCCUGAACAACAAUCUCCUUGUGGGUAAAUAUUCUCGGUGUAUAGACUGGCUUGAAGAGGCGGCCCACGUCCUGGAUAAGAUUGCUAUGUCUGACCUUGUUACUGUACUUUGGAACAUCUAGAACAGUAGGAAUAAUUUGAUCUUUCGGGGAGUGGAGGAAGGGGCCAAAGUUACCUGGGAGAGAGCAGCGUCUUUAAGCCACGACUUUCGUAUUUUUAACUUGGUGGCGGCCCCUUUGUUGCCGAAACUGAGGUUGGAUAAAGUUUGGACGAAGCCGAAUCCGUGUACGAUCAAAAUUAACUUCGACGCUACUGUUACUGGCAAGUAUAUGUGUUUUGGAUUGGUGGCCAGGGACGCUGAUGGAUUCGUUCUCGGAGGAAGAAUGGGGAGAGUUAAUAAAGAAUUGAAAAUUGAAUAGGUUGAGAUGCAGGCGCUGGAUGAAAGCAUUAAUUCCGCUAGGACCAACGGAUGGGACAAGCUUGUUGUGGAAUCUGAUUGUGCGAAUUUGGUUAAUCGGUUCCACAAAAGAAGCUCUGAUUUGACUACGUUGGGCCAUUGUUUACGACUUUUUAACCUUUGUAAUUUUUCUUUUUUCAAUUUUCUUUGGGCCCCUAGAUGCUGUAAUAAAGUAGCGGAUCGGUUGUGUAAGCUGGUUAAGGAUAAUAAUUGUUGUACCAUGGAUUUUAGCGUGGACUAUCCCAAGGAGAUCCAUGAUUUAGUUUUAAGUGAUGCUAUAAAUUGAAGUUGACCCUUGGGUCGUUUUUAUCAAAAAAAAAGAAUGUCGCAUGGUAGUACAUUGACCAAGUUUUUUUAGCUCUUUAGGGGGAGGUGAUAUUGAGCGAACAGGAGUUGUCCAGGGCACUACCCACACCCAUCUCAUGCCCAGACGUUGGUGGCCCCCCUCUCGCCGGUUAGGUUCUCGGUGGUACUCCGACGAUCCAUUCGGGCGGUGGUCCAGCGAGCUUUCUCAACGGUGCUCCGGUGAGCCAUCCCGAAAUAUAGAAAACGAUGCUACAAGUCGUCCCGGCCCCUCCCCUUUCGAAUCAUCCCGGUCCCUCCCUUUUUGGAACAAGAGCCUCCGGCACCUUGGGCCCUUGGUCGCGCCGGAGCAUCAGGCACCAUUGGUAACCUAGGACGUCGAUAGUGCUGAAGCAUCCACACAUUGCUGCUAGGACUUGCUGGAGCCUUGGACGCACAACUAUGCAACCUAGGACGUCAGUGGUGCGAGAGCCUCGAGCAGCAUCGGCAACUUGGUGCCUUGGAUAUGCAGGAGCCUCGGACACCAUCGGCAACCUAGGCCCUUGGUCAUACGGGAGCCUCGGCCACCAUCGGCAACCUAGGCCCUUGGUCGUGCGGGAGCUUCGGGCACCAUCGGUAACCUAGGCCCUUGGUCAUGCGAGAGCCUCGGGCACCAUCGGCAACCUAGGCCCUUGGUAGUGCGGGAGCCUCGAACACCAUCGGUAACCUAGGCCCUUGGUAGUGCGGGAGCCUCGAGAACCAUCGACACCUAGGCCCUUGGUCGUGCGGGAGCCUCAGACACUGCCAGGGGUUAUCCAGGAUGUGGGCCUGCUCGUUUGAUUCUGAUUUCCAGUACGAAUACGAACCGUGAAAGCGUGGCCUAUCGAUCCUUUAGACCUUCGGAAUUUGAAGCUAAAGGUGUCAGAAAAGUUACCACAAGGAUAACUGGCUUGUGGCAGCCAAGCGUUCAUAGCGACGUUGCUUUUUGAUCCUUCGAUGUCGGCUCUUCCUAUCAUUGUGAAUCAAAAUUCACCAAGUGUUGGAUUGUUCACCCACCAAUAGGGAACGUGAGCUGGGUUUAGACCGUCGUGAGAUAGGUUAGUUUUACCCUACUGAUGGCCGCGUCGCAAUAGUAAUUCAACCUAGUACGAGAGGAACCGUUGAUUUGCACAAUUGGUUAUCGCACUUGGUUGAAAAGCCAGUGGCGCGAAGCUACCGUGCGCUGGAUUAUGACUGAACGCCUCUAAGUCAGAAUCUGGGCCAGAAGCGACGCACGCGCUCGUCGCUCGAUUGCCGACCCGCACUAGGGGCCUUUGGCCCCGAAGGGCAAGUGUUGUAGGUGGAGCGACCGCGGCAGACAAGUCGCGGAUGCCUCCUUGGAGCGUAAUUCCCACCGAGCGGCGGGUAGAAUCCUUUGCAGACGACUUAAAUACGCGACGGGGUAUUGUAAGUGGCAGAGUGGCCUUGCUGCCACGAUCCACUAAGAUUCAGCCCUUUUUCGCUUCGAUUCGUCUCUCCCCUCAUCUCCCUUUCGAUCCCCCAUUGUUCUUUUGCACGUCCCGACCUUGGGGUCCCCAAGUGGGGGACUUAGUGUAAGGAGUUAGUUAAACACUUGGCUUUGCCGCCCCCUCGAGAAAUAUGGCACAACGGAGGCCGUGGUGGUGCGGGUGCGAGCUCCCAACUGUUGGUGGUCUGGGCACUUGUUCAAUUUUCUGCCGUGCCGUGCCAUGCCAUGCCAUACUUCAUUUGGCUUCUUGUAUUUGUUCUUUUGUUUUGGGCCAACAGAAAAAAUUUUUAAGCUAAACACUUGGCCGUGCCGCCCCCUCAGGAAACAUGGCACAACGGGGGCCAUGGUCCAGUCACUUGUUCAAUUUUCUGCCAUGCCAUCAUGCCAUAUUUCAUUUGACUUCUUGUAUUUCUUUUGGGCCAACAGAAGAAAUUUUCAAUUAAAAAUACCAAGUGUAAGUGGCGUAAAAAAAAUUGCCCCUAUUUCAGGCAUGUACGGGAGCCUCAGGCAACAUCUGCAACGUAGGCCAUCUCGUGGUGCGGGUCAUUGGGCAACAUCGGCACCUUUGUGCCUCGGAUGUGCGGGAGCGUUGGGCUGAAAAAAGUGUCCCUGUUUCAGACAUCUGAAACCUGUCCCUGUUUUAGACACAUGAUUGUCAACUGGUAGCACAUUGACCAAAUUUUUUUAGCUCUUUAGUGGGGAAGUGAUAUUGAGCAGCCAGGGGUUAUCCAGGGCACUGCCCACGCCCAUCGCAUGCCCGGAUGUCGGUGCCCCCACCACCGGUUAGGUUCCCGGCGGUGCUCCGACGAUCCAUCCCAGCGAUGAUCCAGCGAUCCAUCUUGGGAUAUAAAAAACGGUGCAACGAGUCCCUCCCCAAUCCCAAAAGGUAGAAUUCAGAUACUGUUACAUGUUCGGUACCCAAUAAUGAAUGAACCGUCCCAAAGCUAGAAUUCAGAUACCGUUGCAUGUUCGGUACCCAACAAUGAAUGAAUCGUCCUUGUCCCUCCCCUUUUGCAAGAAGAGCUUCCGGCACCUUUGGCCCCCGGUCGUACGGUAGCCUCGUACACCAUCGGCAGCGUGUGCCAUCCCGUGGUGCGGGGCUAUCAGGGCACCACCGGCCCCUUCGAUGUGUCGGAGCAUCGGGCAGUAUCGACACCUUGAUGCAUCGGAUGUGCGGGAGGGUCGAGCACCAAAGCUAAUUUUGGGCCCCCGUUGGUGCAGAAGCGCUGGUACCAUAAAGUGUCUCUGUUUCAGACACAUGAAUGUUGCCUGGUAGCGUCGCCUGGUAGCGUGAUUUUUCUCCAAGAUUUGGGUGAUUUCUGUUCUUGUUUUUCGUGUGUGAGUCUGCCUUAUUCGGUUGAAUGUUUUGGCAGUUUGGGUUGGUUCUGAGUGUGUUUUGUUUGUUUAUGUGGAGUGUUUUUGAGUUUUGUUACCGUUUUGCUUUGAAUGGUUGCUGUUCGGUGUCUUUUCUUUGAUGCGAUAGGUUUCUGGCGGUGUUCCUGGUCUGACAAGAUGUUUCUUGCAGCGUUUUCGCUUCCUUGUUUACGGUGACUUUUGUCCGUUUUACUUUUCUUUGGUUUUAUGUUAUUUUUUAUUUGGUUUUGUAUUUGUGUUUAUUGAAUUUUGUGCUUGGUUGCUGGUUAGUGCGCUGGGGGCCCCACGGUGGUCGGAUUCUCUUCUUUCUUGCGCCUUUUCCACGUUCUUUCUUAUGCCUUUGCAUGAAAGUGGGUUUUCUUUAUUUCCCGACGUACAAAGUGCAUGGUUCAUGCAUGCAGGGUUCCACGUAUAUUGUGUCCUGUUUAAUGAUCUUUAUUAAGAUGAUCGCUUUCUUUUUUCCAGUGGUGUUUUUGUUAUUGCUCUUGCUGGAUUGUCGCCUUUUCCGUGGUGGUCUUUUGCUUGUUAUGAUGUCGAGAUAUCGCAUGGUUUCUCUCUGCUGAGGGUUCUCUUGUUGGUUCGUUUUUUUGUUCAGUUUUUUUCGAGUUUUUUGUAAAGCUUGGUUUCCCUGUUUCUUUCCUUUGUACAGGAUUGUUUCUUGAGGAGUGCCUCUCGUCUUUUCCUUUGGGAGCUGGGCUUUCGCUGGAGGGUGCCAUCUAUGCAUGUUUUAGGUUCUUUGGGCGGUGUUGUUGGUUUUCUUUGCUCGAGCGCUGAAUCCUUGGGUCGGUGGGCUGGCUUUCCGGCGAGUCCACCUUCUUUCCUUCUGGUUGGUCUUGGUUUCUUGGUUGUUCUUUGACGGAAGAUCGAAGAUCCUCACGGUCAAGUUUUGCGGGGUGAUAUAUCGUCUCUUUCCUUGACGCAUCGAGGGAGUCGAUAAGAAAUAAGCUUUAUCGCUGUCUUGGCGUGUUUAGCGCCUCAAUGGUAUAAGAUUCGUGGGGGUGAAAAUCCUAUGAAGAUCCUCUGCUGAAACUGUCGUGGGAUUGGUAACCCAGCGACAGUCCGUGAAUUAAAGCAAAUGCUCGUUGCUAAUGACCCUGAUAUAGUCUUCCUUUGUGAAACAAAAAUUAAUGCUAAUAAAUUCUCUUCUGUUCGUAGUAGGUGUAAAAUGGAAGGAUGCUUGGCUGUUAACGCGAACGGCAAAAGUGGUGGACUGGUUAUGAUGUGGAAGGAAAGUAAUAAGGUCGAAGUUCAAACAUAUUCUAGUAAUCACAUUGAUUCGAUAAUCAAGCUGGAGAAUGAUAAUCCCAUUCGGUUCACGGGAUUAUAUGGAAAUGCCGAACCAAACAAAAGACAAUGCUCGUAAAUGUGCUGAGAAGGGUGGGUCAGUCUGUUACGGAGAAAUGGAUCAUUGGGGGUGAUUUCAAUGCCAUUCUUGACAAUGCGGAAAAAGAGGGGGGUAGGAGAAAGCCAAGUGCUCUAAUGGAGGACUUUCGGGAGGUUGUCUAUGAGUUCUCAAUGGCUGAUUUGAAAACUGAUAAUGGUUGGUUUACCUGGGUUAAUAACAGGGAUGGUACAGCGUUGGUUAAGGAGAGAGUUGAUCGGUUUUUAAUGUCUGCUAAUGUUGUGGCGAGGUUCCCCUUUAUGGAAACCAAGGUGAUCCAUCAAUCUACUUCAGACCACGAUGCCAUCAUUUUAGAUACUGAAGGACGGAAGCCGAGAGAUAGAUAUAGAGAUCCUAGGCUUUGUUUUAAAUACGACAUUUGCUGGGCUAAAGAUGUGGAAGCAAAGAAAAUCAUCAAGGAAGCAUGGCAGAAAGGUUCCACGGAUAUAAUGGGAAAGAUCGAGAUGGUGGGUAAAAAGCUUGGUGGUUGGCAAUAUAAGAAGCUUAAACAAAUGCGUACCCAGAUGGGUACCCUGCAGGCAAAUAUAAACAAAGUCAUUGAUAGCCAGGGGGUACGUAUGCGAGUAAUAAGCUCAAAGCCUUGAGAAUAAAGCUGGGCAAGCUGUUAGAUGAAGAGGAGAAAUAUUGGGCCCAGCGCUCUAGGAUCCAAUGGUUAAAAGAAGGGGACAGGAAUACCCGAUUUUUUCAUGUGAGAGCCACAAUCAGAAGGAAAAAAAAUAACAUUGCUAGGCUUAUAGACAUGGAUGGUUACUGGAAAGAGAAAACGACGGAUAUCAGCAAGGCGAUCAGGGAGUAUUUUCAAAAGUUAUUUAAAUCCAAUUUAAAUUCUAAUACUUUGCUAAACCUUGAUUAUAUUGAGAGCUGUAUUACAGGUGAAGAGAAUGACAGAUUGCUGAAGGACUUUACGGAAAACGAAAUUAAGGAAGCGUUCAGUCAAAUGGAUCCUAGGAAAGCUCCAGGAAUUGACGGUUUGUCGGGGAAUUUUUUUAAAGAAAACUGGGAAGUGGUGGGGGAAGAUAUUAUUAAGCUGUGUCAUGAUAUUCUUAGGGGUGUUAAAAGUGUGGAUUGCAUAAAUGAUACUAUUAUUAUUCUUAUCCCUAAAAUUAAAGAGCCGGUGGAUAUGACUAAUUUUAGGCCGAUCAGUCUUUGUAGGGUGGUGUAUAAAAUCGUCGCCAAGGUGCUCGAAAAUCGCUUGAAGGAAACUCUCCCGUCAUGCAUUAGCUAAAAUCAGAGCGCUUUUGUUCCGGGGAGGAUGAUCCACGAUAACAUUUUAAUUGCCCAUGAAAAAAUGGGCCAAACAAGGGGUUUAUAAUUAAGCUUGAUAAGAGCAAAGCGUACAAUCAAGUGGAGUGGCAAUUUAUUGAAAAGGUGAUGAAAAAAUGGGCUACGCAAAUGAAUGGGUGUCUAAAAUAAUGAGAUGUGUUCGGUCGGUCCGUUAUGUUGUCAAAUGCAAUUCUACCCUAUCCGAGACGAUUACACCGGAAAGAGGCUUAAGACAGGGGGAUCCUCUCUCCUUACCUUUUUUUAUUUUGCAUGGAAGCGUUUUCAAAAAUGUUAAUUCGUGCUCAAAAAAAUAAUGUGCUUAAGGGAAUUCGUGCUAGCAUAAAUGGGCCUCGUAUUAAUCACCUUUUUUUUGCCGAUGAUGCACUCCUUUUUAUUCGUAAUAAAAAAAAGGAUGUGGAGGAAAUCGUGAAUAUUAUUUCAAACUUCAAUUGUGAUUCGGUUCAAGAGGUUAAUAAAGAUAAAUCUAUGAUUAUGUUUAGCCCGAAUACUCCGUUGGCCCAAAGACAACUAUUUAGCUCUAUGCUUGGCAUGCAUAUUGUUGAUAAGCUAGAUAGUUACUUAGGGUUACCGUUACCUGUUAGUAGGAAAAAAUCAUUAGCUUUUACUAACAUUCUUAAUCGUUGCAAUUGCAGAAUAAAUAGCUGGUCAAAACGUUUGUUAUCUUACGGAGGAAAGAGGUUUUUAUCAAAGCCAUUGUUCAAGCUAUUCCGACGUAUGCUUUCUCUGUUUUUCUGUCCCCUAAAGGUAUUAUCAAAGACCUUCAUUCAAAAAUGGGACGGAUGUGGUGGAAUAGUAAUGACAAAGCACGGUGGUGGGCUAUGAUGACGUGGAAAAAAUUGUGUUAUCCGAAGGGAAUGGGAGGCAUGGGCUUUCGAGAUUUACAUCUAUUCAAUUUGGCUCUUCUUGGCAGAUAGGUUUGGAGGCUUAUAACUCAACAGAAUACGUUAUGCUUUAAAGUGUUAAGUGCCAAGUAUUUCCCGGAUGGGGACGUGUUUAGAUACAAACAGAAUGAUAAACCAUCUUUCACUUGGAAGAGGAUAGCCAAGGCGGUUGAUGCGCUAAAAGACGGUUUUAUAUGGCACGUGGGCGAUGGAAAUAAGAUUGAUCUUAGACGGGACCAUUGGGGGGUUGAAGGCAUUAUAGGAGAGUCGGUGUGUCGGUCUCCUUUUGCUAAUAAUGAGAGAAAGGUCAAAGACUUGUGGGACCACGAAAACAAGAGGUGGAAACGGGAGAGGGUGAUUGAGAGUUAUGGUGAUACAUUGGGGGACUGCAUAUGCAAUUUGCCCAUUUCUCAUAAUGGCAUCAAAGAUACCAGGACGUGGAUUCAAAAUCUGCACGGCAUUUAUACUACCAAAUCGGCGUACUCCUGGAUGUUUCUUAAGAAAGUUGGUUUCGGUCCCUAGAGAUUUUUUUGCCGUUCCAUAUGGAAAUUGAAGAUGCUCCCAAAGAUUAAAAUUUUCAGCUGGAGAAUUGGUCACAAUAUCCUCCCAACUUUUAAUAAUAUUGCUCGUAUUCGCCAGGGGUUUAAUAAUACCUGCCCGAGAUGCCACAGCAGAGAAGAGUCGCUGGUUCAUGCGAUGAAAGACUGCUCCAAGGCUCGUGAAGACCUUGUAGCUGGAGGUUUAAAUAACAGAUUGCUGGAAGGGGAUUACAUUAACUGUAUCAAUUGGCUCGAAGAUGUGUUUCGUGAGCUCGAUCAUAAGGCUGCUGCUGACUUUUUAACCCUUCUCUGGAACAACUGGAAUGAUAGAAACAAUAUGGUUUUUAAUGGAAAGAUAGAUGCCGCAGUGCUGAUUUGGGAAAGGGCUCGUACUUUAAGUAAAGAUUUUAGAAUUUUUAACUUCACUGAACCUCCGGUCUUUUCCCCGAUUCAGACGAACGAGAGCUGGGAAAAGCCUCCAAAUGGCUAUAUCAAAGUGAAUGUUGACGCUGCGGUUUCGAAAGGAUGCAGUGGAUUUGGCGCAAUCGCUAAAGAGCAUGAUGGUUUUGUUCUGGGGGGACGCUAUAAAUUCAGGGAAGAAACUUUGGACGUUGGUUGGGCUGAGCUGGAGGCGUUUAAAGAAAGAAUAAAGUUAGCCGAAAAAUUAAAUUUGAACCAGCUAAUUCUGGAAUCUGACCGCGCUAUUUUGGUCAACAAGGUUAAUAAGCGGACGCAGGAUAUUACCAUCUUGGGCCAACGUAUUAAUCAAGAGUGCGAAGCCUUUAAAAAUUUUCAUGCGGUCCAAAUUAGUUGGAUAAAUCGUAAUAGAAAUGCCGUAGCUGAUUAUUUGGUAAAUUAGCUAUUACGAAUAAGUGUGAUGUGUAUUUUGAUAUGGAUUAUGCUUUGGAUAUCCAUAAUAUUAUUCUUAAAGAUGCAAUAAAAUGAGGUAGACCUUUGGGUCGUUUUUCUUUUCAAAAAAAAAGAAUGUCGCCUGGUAGCACAUUGACCAAGUUUUUUUAGCUCUUUAGGGGGAAGGUGAUAUUGAGCGAACAGGGGUUGUCCAGGGCACUGCCCACGCCCAUCUCAUGCCCAGACAUCGGUGCCCCUCCAUCGCCGGUUAGGUUCCCAGCGAUGCUCCGACGAUCCAUUCCGUGGUUGGUUCGGCAAGCUUUCCCGGCGGUGCCCUGGUGAGCCAUCCCGGAAUAUAGAAAAUGAUGCUACAAGUCGUCCCGGUCUCUCCCCUUUCGAAUCAUCUCGGUCCCUCCCCUUUUGGAACAAGAGCCUCCGGCACCUUAGGCCCUAGGUCGCGCCGGAGCAUCAGGCACCAUUGGUAACCUAGGACGUCGAUGGUGCCAGAGCAUCCGCACAUUACUGCUUGGACGUGCUGGAGCCUUGGACGCACAACUAGGCAACCUAGGACGUCGGUUGUGCGAGAGCCUCGAGCAGCAUCGGCACCUUGGUGCCUUGGAUAUGCAGGAGCCUCGGACACCAUCGGCAACCUAGACCCUUGGUCGUGCAGGAGCCUCGGGCACCAUCGGUAACCUAGGCCCUUGGUCGUGCGGGAGCCUCGGGCACCAUUGGCAACCUAGGCCCUUGGUCGUGCGAGAGCCUCGGUACCAUCGGUAACCUAUGCCCUUGGUCGUGCGAGAGCCUCGGACACCAUCAGCAACCUAGGCCCUUGGUCGUGCGGGAGCCUCGGGCACCAUCGGCACCUAGGCCCUUGGUCGUGCGGGAGCCUCAGACACCAUCGGCACCCUAGGCCCCUGGUCGUGCGGGAGCCUUGGACACCAUCGGCACCCUAGGCCCCUGGUCGUACGAGAGCCUCAAACACCAUUGGUAACCUAAGCCCCUGAUCGUGCGGGAGCCUCGGGACC
rnacentral:lncRNA from 1 species